GGACUUGCGCCGCCUCAUUAGCAUUUAAAGGGGCCGCACCGUGGUCGCGGCUGGACCGAGUGAGCGGGGGACGGCGUGGGGAUCGGCCCCGGUGAGGUGAGGGGCGCGCGCGGGCGCGGUACGCGCGUGAAUGUGGCCGUGCGAUGUACAGGUGGCCGUGUGUGCACGCACGAGUGCGGCUGUGGGUACGAGAGAGUGUGCGUGUGGAGCUGAGCGGAGCUGAGCUGAGCUGAGCUGAGCACCGCGCGUGUAUGCCCGUCCGUAUCUGUGGGUACCUGCAAGAAUCCCUCUGUGCGUGGGGUUGUGUAUAGAUACAUACGCACACACAACUGCAGUCGAGAGUCCGAGAUGUCAGUAGGCGCGUGGCCGCAUAUUGCUGCUUGCUCCCACGCGUGUGCAGACAAACGUGCUCUGACGGCGGUGUCUGUGAGCACAUCUGCCCCGUACCCUGUAUGGGCAGAACGGCUCGUUUUGGACGGGAGUUCGUGUGCUCUCCGUUGGGAACAAACGGCUCGAUGAGGUGAGCCUAAGAGUGCGUGCGUGUUGGUUUUGUUGCCCCUGUUUCUUUCCAUGCUGCUAUUUCCUUACCCGUGGUAUAAUCUGCAACCCCUCGAAUUUAUUUUCAUCCCACUGCCUCCUCUUUCUCUUGCAGUUGUGCUUCUAGCUCUCUCACCUUCCUUCCUGUCUUUUUUUCCUCCUCCUCCCAGUUUUUGAACAGCCUCCUUAAGUGGCCUUUUGAUGAUGUUUCUGCUCAGAGAGCACUUUUGCAGUUUGCCGCAUAGCCAUUGUACGUUAUUCCCUCUGCCUUGAAUCUUUCAUUCCCUACAAGGUAGAGAACAUCUGUUCAUGCAUCAUGCACCUUUGUCUUCUCCACUUUCUUCAAGUUCAGCUUUGCUACUCUGUGUUCAUGAAUGCUCAAAGAACAUGGGGUCACAUUCAUUUCUCCCUUUGUGUCCCACUUCUUGACAAUCAGUUGAUAGUUUUCAUAACAAAAAUAAAGGUCUUUAAAGGAGCCCCUGCUGAAUAUCACUCAGCAAUACCAACAUUGACUCCAAGAAAGUCUCAGAUGUUCCUUGGCAAGGCACUUCAUAGGUCCAAAGUUUUUGGCACAUUGAGGCUUCACUGAGUGAAGAGGAAUUGUCUUGGACUGCAUAUAAUGUAUGUAAGUAACAAAACUCCUUUUAUUUUUUACUGAAACAUUUUGAAAAGGAAAACAACAAAACAAAACUAGUGGGAUAUUUGACCUGGGUUUUGUGAAACUAAUGCAUCAGUGUCUGGUUCAAUGGAAGCGGUUGCAAUUCUCCAUGAGUUCUUGAGGUGUUCAUCAAAGAUUUUUGAUGAAAUUUUGUGCUUCCUGCAUUUCAGCCUUGACAACAUCUGUUGACAGAUGUACAUGCUGCCAAAAAGUGAUGACACAAAUAAGGUGUGAUUGUGAAGUGAGAGAUAUUUUACAACUGAUAGGGCGGGUCUGAUCAAAGUUUACUUCAUCAAAUUUUUGACUUGAAUAUCUGAUGGCAACUCUAUACAUUCCACUAAAAAAAUUGCAGGCAACGUACAUCAACUGAAAAUGGAGUUGUGCAUAUACCAAAAAAAGAUGAUUUUUUUUGGCAUCUUGAAAUCUAUUCUAAAAUUCUGUUAUCAAAACAGAAAGCAUGGCUGCAUAUUCACUGUUUAUAGAACUGUGUUCAACCAAUGUCUCAAAAUGCAUAAAAUGUGCCAGAACUUGAGCUUGCCAGCAUUUAAUAUUCAUUUCAGACUCUGUUACAGUUUGAAACAUAGCACAUACAAGUUGAUUUUCACUAUGAAGAUGCAUGUUUAACUCAUUAAAAUUAGUGGUGAAAUCCACCAAAAAAAAAUUACAGAUUAUUUUGUACUUUUUGUACUCUUGUUGAGACUUUGAAAAUUAUAAAAUGUAUUGGUACCACACAGCUAUUCUAGAUGUUUCUUCCACAAUAAAUGUGUUAACUUAUUAAAUUAUCUUACAGAAUAACACAAGCUGUAGUUUAAUAAUUAAAUAAGAAAGCAUACGUGUCUGCAUGUACAGAAAGUGGAUACAACUUGGAUACAAACAUGUGCAGGUAGGUUGCAAUGUUAUUAUCAGUGAUCACAAUGUUUUACUUACCAAGUUCACAAGCACACGUAAUAUGCCAUACUGAUACAUAUGCCAUUCUGAUACAACUGAGUGUGUGUGGUGGGUGCAAAAGGCAGAAUUAGCCCUGUUAGCCCUGGCCCUUCAGCCAGUUUUCACUUCACUUUGGUCUGCUCAUAUCAUUAACUUCUCUAUAUGGAUCUUUUUGGAGACAAUGUCCAAGUCUUACUAAAUGAGGUCCAGGAAUACAAUAUCCAGUGCUUUCUCCUCAUCUACUAGGCCAGUCAUUUCAUCAUACAAGGUUAUCAGAAUGGUCAAACUUGUCUUCCCUUUGGUUAUUCCUGAAAGACACCCUCUUGUCCUUCACAUGCCUGAAAAUGGUUUCUAGGUUUACCUGCUCCACCAGUUUUCCAGGGACUGAGUUGAAUCUGACUGACUUGUAGUUUACUGAAAACUCCUUCUUGUUCUUCUUGAAGACAGGAGUGAUAUAUGCUUUCCUUCUGUCUUUGAGCUCUUCAACACAUUGCCAUUAUUAAUCAAGGAUUAUCAAGGAGAUCUCGCAGUGACAUCUGCCAAGUCUCUCGUAGUUGCAUCUCAUCAUGGCCUGUUAUUAUGUCCAGUGUACUUAAGUAUUCCCUGAUCUAAUUCUCCCUGAAAAGGUUACAUAUGCCUUGCUCCAGCCUUCUCCUGGACUCAGGCCUGGGAUUAACCAAGGCCACUCUUAGUGGUAAAGGCUGAGGCAAAGAAGGCAUUCAGUACCUCAGUAAUGUCCAUGUCAUAUAUAACCAUGAACUCCUGAAUUCUUUAUGCCCUGCUGUAUUGUCCUUCCAACAGGCAUGGGGCGUGUUUAAAAAUCUCCAUGAUUACCAGGGCUUGCCAAUGGGUACUACUUCUGACUAACUGUAGGCCUCAUUCAUUUGUAAAGACAGGCAGAUGGUCAGGUGGCCAGAUUGUCUGUAGUUGCAGUCUGUAGUGGCAGACUUCAACUACAAUGUCACCCAUAAUGGUUUGCUCUUUAUCUCUUGUAUUACUCACAUCUUGUGUUGGUUCCUUAUCCAUUCCCAGGCAGAACUCCAGGCACACCAACUCCUCUGUCACAUCAAGGGCAACUCUACCUCAUUUUUCAGUCUGUCCUUUCCUAAACAGUUGCAUCCCUCCACUGAAACACUCUAGUCAUAUGAGGCAACCUACCAUGUGUCUCUGAUGCCUAUGAGACGAUAGCUGUGCAAUCGCGCAUCUCUGAUUCCUUGUGUUUAUUCCCCAUGCUGCAUAUAUUGUUGAGCAAGCAUUUCAUAGUGGCACCUUAUAUCCUGAUUUCUUAGAAAUGGUCUAUUGGGAUUUUUAUCUUCCAGUGGGAUCUAAUAAUAGAAGAAAUCGAAACCGUGUUGUAAACACCAGCUCUGCAACCAGUUGUUGAUAUAGUCCCUUCCUCCUCCUCACACUGUUUUCCCUCUUUGGCAGGAUGGAGGAUCACCAAGUCCUUGACCAUCACCUCAAAAUGAACAGAUGAUGCAUUUUUAUGGAAAAGAACCCCUAGACAUUUCUAAAAAUUAUUUUCAGGCCACUCUUUCUUAAUUCAUAGGUCCAUAGCACAUCAACAUCUUUCUAACACUGUAAGUUGGGGAAAUGUCAAGCUAACGCAUGUAGUUUUAGUUGCUCAUAAUUUGACCAAACUGUAAUGGCUUGGACUGAAAUUCAUAAUUUUUGUGUGAAAAGUUCAGCAGAAGAUACUCAGCUCUGAAAAUAAGGGCUCUGUUUCAUUAUUUUUGCCUCUCAAGUCCUAUUAUAACCUGAAAGUCUGUGAUUGCAUUCCUUUGUACAGAACUUGCUUACUCUGUGCUAGCUGUGGAAAAGUUUUGGAAAAUAAAGACAUUCAAAGCUGAAGAACUGACUUUAAAAUGGAAAACAUCCAUCUUCCCUGGUCUAGUUGGAAAUGUAAGAGACUACUUGUGCUUUAAACAUGAAUUUAAACCACAGAUUCAAGAUAGAAUUUGUCCUACAGUAUGCUCUUACAUACAUGCUAGCAUAUUUAGGACCUUAUGUUCACUACAGCUGGUACAUGUGUUGAUGUUGUCCUAAUAUUGGUAAUACAAUGAUCUGCCACAGGCAGGUCAUUUAAACUCUUCUCUUUACCUUCCAUAUGGAAAAUUUAAGGUUAUGGCAUUCAUGUAACAACAACAACAAUUAAAAUGCAAGGUUUGAUCUACUGAGUCAGUGGAAGAAUGAACUUGUGAUUAAGCCUGAAGUGUAUGAUAGGAUCUAAAAUGUAUAGGAUUGAUGUACUGAUCUUAAUUACUUUUACAUCACAGUUUUCUGUUACCAACAGAAAUUUGAGAAGUAUUUCUUAAACACAAUACCUAGUAUUGAUUUGAAGUCAAUUUGUUGACGUUUUGCAAAAUCCAGCCACUUUGGUUUUGUGGUAUCUUGGUGUUCUGUUUUUUUUUUGGAGGGAGGGGUGAUGUUGUUGUUUUAUUUGUUUAUUAUUGAAGACUUCUAUUAAGAAAAAGUACCUCACACUGACUUUAUUGUAAAAUAUUGAUAGCUUGUAAGUCCUUUAAUCUAGAAAGAGUCAGAACAGUUUAUAGAUUAAAUAUCUGCAGGACACAGCAGAUGAAAGCAAAAUGCUGCUCCACCAGCCUGUGUUCAGAAUACACAUUAUUUUUAGUAAUGAUGUAGGAGAGAAACAAAGAAUCUAAUCUAACAAAUAUUCCACUUUGAAGCUAUGGUAGUCUCUCUUGGAAAUAUAUAUAUAUAUAUAAUAGGUAGGAAAGCAAAAGACUCCAGCAGUCAUUUUGAUUGAUCUUCGUGUUGCCCUGUAAGAAUCUCCAAACCCACUCUGAGAAACUUGAUGCUGAACAUGGGACUUCUUUUUUUUUCAGUAGACAAUUUAUCUGAGAAUACAGUGAAAUUGGAUUGCAUUCAUCAAUGUAUUUACCCAAAAUAAAAUUAACAAAGUACACGAAAAUGUUAAAGAAUUCAUUUGAAUGUGCUAAAUGGUUGUGUUGGUAGUCUACAUACCAUUAUGCUGCUUCAGCACGGCAAAUGAAGAACAGUCCAUCACAGAACAGCCCUCAGCUUCACACUGUGCUAGGAAGUGUUGGAUCAAAGGACUGAUGUGUUCUACCAGAAGAUGUAGUUCAAAUUUGGUUGCAGUAUCUGAGAAUUAUUGCCUGUAAAUAAUGUUGGAUGCAAUCCAGAUGGAGGGACUUAAAUGGGCUGUUAGUAUUUCCAGCAGGCCUUGUGUGUAACAAAAUGCAGGAAAGCUUAUGAGCAAUGUCAUUUUGACUAUUUGGAUAGCUCUGAAAUACCAAGAACCUGUUUGCAGGCCAGAGUUGAAAGACAUGCACUCAAGAAAAAGCUGCUGCUUCUAGAGAAUAAGAGUUUCUUUGCUAAGAGAUCAAGGAUCAGACCAAUGGUCUGCAAAGGCUGUGGAAAAUUCUCUGUUGACAAACUUACAUCUAAAAAAUUUUGAUCAAUUCCCAAGUCUGUCAAAAACUGGAUAGCUGACAAGGCUAAAAUAUAAUACUGUACUGCCAUGCCAGUAUGCCUUUUAAUGAAGAAACUGAGGAAGAAAUCUAGCACAAGCUUGCUAGAGUUGUUCUCAGGCUCACUUGGUGCCCAGGAUGCCUCUGUUGACUCAUUGUCCUCACUCAGCUUCCCUGCUUUGUACUAUCCUUCAGAAGAGAGCUCUUCUCAAUGCAGAGGCUUAUAUUCCAGGAUAAUUCAUACCCUUCACUACAGUGUAGUAUUUUCAAAUUAUGUUGAAAAAAGUACAAGCAUUAGUGUGCACAGACUAAAGAAGCCUCUGUGUUAAUCUUCUAGUAGUAGAACCUUAAAGCCAGCUGAAUUGCACAUACAUGCACUGAACCUUCUUGUGUGUCUUUGGCUCCUUUCUAAGCUACUAAGUACAGCUAACACAGGGAAAGCCUGUUCCCCUACCUGUGACUUCUAGCAUCUUGUCCUUGCCGCAGGCACAGAACUCAUCCUUUCCUUCUACCCUACCUAAAUCUGCAUUGGCUUCCUCCUCCAUUUCUUUUCUCUGGAUGCUCCCUUUUAUCACUUAUCCAGCCAAGACUUCAUGCAGUGUCACAUGGAUUAAUGUUACAUAAAGUGAAUUCACAAUA